AGCGAACGCUGGCGGCAGGCCUAACACAUGCAAGUCGAACGAACUCUUCGGAGUUAGUGGCGGACGGGUGAGUAACACGUGGGAACGUGCCUUUAGGUUCGGAAUAACUCAGGGAAACUUGUGCUAAUACCGAAUGUGCCCUUCGGGGGAAAGAUUUAUCGCCUUUAGAGCGGCCCGCGUCUGAUUAGCUAGUUGGUGAGGUAACGGCUAACCAAGGCGACGAUCAGUAGCUGGUCGGAGAGGAUGGCCAGCCACACUGGGACUGAGACACGGCCCAGACUCCUACGGGAGGCAGCAGUGGGGAAUCUUGCGCAAUGGGCGAAAGCCUGACGCAGCCAUGCCGCGUGAAUGAUGAAGGUCUUAGGAUUGUAAAAUUCUUUCACCGGGGACGAUAAUGACGGUACCCGGAGAAGAAGCCCCGGCUAACUUCGUGCCAGCAGCCGCCGCAG
rnacentral:rRNA from 1 species